UCCUACGGGGCCAGCAGUGGGGAAUAUUGCACAAUGGGGGAAACCCUGAUGCAGCGAUGCCGCGUGGAGGAAGAAGGUUUUCGGAUUGUAAACUCCUUUUAUCAGGGACGAUAAUGACGGUACCUGAAGAAAAAGCUCCGGCUAACUACGUGCCAGCAGCCGCGGUAAUACGUAGGGGGCAAGCGUUAUCCGGAAUUACUGGGUGUAAAGGGAGCGUAGACGGUGAUGCAAGUCUGGAGUGAAAGGCGGGGGCCCAACCCCCGGACUGCUCUGGAAACUGUGUAACUUGAGUGCAGGAGAGGUAA
rnacentral:rRNA from 1 species